rfam:Roseburia sp. CAG:182 genomic scaffold, scf238
GCUGCCUUGGCUCAGCUGGUAGAGCGUCGCCUUGGUAAGGCGGAGGUCGGCGGUUCAAGUCCGCUAGGCAGCU